rnacentral:rRNA from 1 species
AAGCGUUUAUGACCAGACUUUUUCCUAGUGGAUCAUCCGGUGUUCUCACCGGUGCACUUCGCUAGGUCGAGGCCAGCAUCGGUUUCCGUAGGGGGAUAAAAACUUUAGGAAUGUGGCUCUUCGGAGUGUUAUAGCUCGCUGUUUCAUAUCUUACUACCCACUAAGGCAUGCGUUCUCAACGAUGCUGGCAUAAUGGU